CACGUAGGGUGCGAGCGUUGUCCGGAAUUAUUGGGCGUAAAGAGCUCGUAGGCGGUUUGUCGCGUCUGCUGUGAAAACGCGAGGCUCAACCUCGCGCCUGCAGUGGGUACGGGCAGACUGGAGUGCGGUAGGGGAGAUUGGAAUUCCUGGUGUAGCGGUGGAAUGCGCAGAUAUCAGGAGGAACACCGAUGGCGAAGGCAGAUCUCUGGGCCGUAACUGACGCUGAGGAGCGAAAGCGUGGGGAGCGAACAGG
rnacentral:rRNA from 1 species